ensembl:lncRNA
CGGGAGCGCGCGUUUAUUUCUGAGCCGCAGUCGCAGAGAGACAGAGAGCGUGUACGGGAGCGCGCCUGGGAUUUUCUCUCCUUUCUCCUAGAGGAUCGCGUUCAGGAAUUAUCCAGAGGACUUUCAUGUGAACAUACACACACAGACACACACACACACACACACACACACACACACAGAGUGUGAGUGUGUGUGUUUAUUCUGCUAUAUAAGGGAUGAGCUGAUACACAUGUGAUGGAUCACACAUUUCGGGAAUGAUGGAAAACCUGUUAGGAAUAUAAACACACUUUACAGCUUGGAGUGUGAGAGCAGGACAUCAUCCUCACAGCACACAUGGAACUCUUGGCGGAUUUGGCGGAUUUGGCUGGAAUAUAGAGACACGAACAGCACAUCUGGAGGAAAAGUGAGUAAAUGAACCAGCUAGGUUACUAGUACGUGUAUAUAAGUGUAUGAAAUCUGACACAAAUCAGAAGCGGCUUUAGAUGCUUCGGCAACGAUAAUAAUCCUUUAAUAGUGAGUCUGUUACUCUAUUUAUAGUCCAUAUAAUAAUAUUGAUUUAUAGUCCAUAUAAAUCACAAAUCUCUGUUUGACGCUUUUCAGUCCGAGAAAGAAAAGAGGCUCUUUAGUGGGCUUUUCUUCCAUUGUUCAUUGUCCAGCUCUCUGUGGCAGACUCUAAAACAGCUGUUAAUCAUACAGUUAAGCACGGUGGCUUAGUG